CCUACGGGGGGCAGCAGUGGGGAAUAUUGGGCAAUGGAGGAAACUCUGACCCAGCAACGCCGCGUGAAUGAUGAAGGUCUUCGGAUUGUAAAGUUCUUUUCUAAGGGAAGAAGAAAGUGACGGUACCUUAGGAAUAAGCCUCGGCUAACUACGUGCCAGCAGCCGCGGUAAUACGUAGGAGGCGAGCGUUAUCCGGAAUGACUGGGUUUAAAGGGUGAGUAGGCGGAUUUUUAAGUCAGCGGUAAAAUGUCCGGGCUCAACCCGGGCCGGCCGUUGAAACUGGGGAUCUUGAGUGGGCGAGAAGUAUGCGGAAUGCGUGGUGUAGCGGUGAAAUGCAUAGAUAUCACGCAGAACUCCGAUUGCGAAGGCAGCAUACCGGCGCCCGACUGACGCUGAGGCACGAAAGCGUGGGGAUCGAACAGGAUUAGAUACCCUAGUAGUC
rnacentral:rRNA from 1 species